rnacentral:rRNA from 1 species
AGGCAGCUUACUGGGAUACAACUGACGCUGAGGCACGAAAGCGUGGGGAUCAAACAGGAUUAGAUACCCUGGUAGUCCACGCAGUAAACGAUGAAUACUAGCCGUAUGCGAUAUACUGUAUGUGGCAAAGCGAAAGCGUUAAGUAUUCCACCUGGGGAGUACGUUCGCAAGAAUGAAACUCAAAGGAAUUGACGGGGGCCCGCACAAGCGGAGGAACAUGUGGUUUAAUUCGAUGAUACGCGAGGAACCUUACCCGGGCUUGAAAUGCAGAAGACCGACGAAGAAAUUCGUUUUCCAGCAAUGGCUUCUGUGUAGGUGCUGCAUGGUUGUCGUCAGCUCGUGCCGUGAGGUGUCGGCUUAAGUGCCAUAACGAGCGCAACCCUUGUCAUUAGUUACUAACAGGUCAUGCUGAGGACUCUAAUGAGACUGCCAUCGUAAGAUGCGAGGAAGGUGGGGAUGACGUCAAAUCAGCACGGCCCUUACGUCCGGGGCGACACACGUGUUGCAAUGGGGGGUACAGAGGGUUGCUACUGCGCGAGCAGAUGCUAAUCUCUUAAAGCCUCUCUCAGUUCGGAUCGAAGUCUGCAACUCGACUUCGUGAAGCUGGAUUCGCUAGUAAUCGCGCAUCAGCCAUGGCGCGGUGAAUACGUUCCCGGGCCUUGUACACACCGCCCGUCAAGCCAUGGAAGCUGGGGGGACCUGAAGUACGUAACCGCAAGGAGCGUCCUAGGGUAAAACUAGUAACUGGGGCUAAGUCGUAACAAGGUAGCCGUA